rnacentral:rRNA from 1 species
UACGAGGGGGGCGAGCGUUGUUCGGAAUUAUUGGGCGUAAAGGGCGCGUAGGCGGUCGGAUAAGCCUUGUGUGAAAUCUUCGGGCUCAACUCGAAGUCUGCACAGGAAACUAUCUGGCUUGAGUGUGGGAGAGGUGAGUGGAAUUCCUGGUGUAGCGGUGAAAUGCGUAGAUAUCAGGAGGAACACCUGUGGCGAAAGCGGCUCACUGGACCACAACUGACGCUGAGGCGCGAAAGCUAGGGGAGCAAACAGG